ensembl:lncRNA
GUGAGUACCUAGUGAUUAGCAGUGCUGGAAAAUCAAAUGUUUAACUCAUAAAGCUUAGCAUUCCUUUCCAACUGGCAUGUGAUUUUAACGUUGACCCUAACGGUUAUGUUCCAGUUUAAUAUUUUUAAUGAAGAAAGAAAUUCAUACAGGUUUGAAACAACAUGAGGACCACAGAUCUAACUACUUAUAGAAGGUCUGUUGUUCUUCAUGGUCUUCCCCUGUACUUGAGAGAGCCAGCUUAAAUUUCAAAGACUAUUUAGGAUACUGAGGCACUGGGGCCACACACAAAGGCCAUGAAAAUGGGGAUCCUGGAAGUGACUGACAGUUCUACCAACUCAGGACCAUAUCCCACAGUGGUCAAUGUGGCUGUAGUACUGGAGGAAGAAGUUGUCAUGUUUUACUGAAUUUCAUUUUGUAAAGCAGAUAUUUGUUUUUCCAGUACAGCUAUUGACUAAGAGUGAUAUGUCAUGCUUUCUUGAACUCUCAGAUCUUGUUUUGGCACUGGUUGAAUACUUGUGUAAUAUUUUACUUGAGCCUAACAGGCA